rnacentral:rRNA from 1 species
AUGGCAGCUGCCAAGCCGGAGGUGGCCGCCAUGGCGCAGCGUCAGGUGGGUUCGGCGGAGGAGGGGGAGGAGCAUCGGCUGCGGGCGGCGCUGCGCCACCUGCAGGCGGAGGCCGGAGUGCUCGAGCGCCUGGUCUACAAGCACCGGAACCAGCACCGCGGUGACGCCUACUUCCAGUACCUCCUCAAGAUGUUACUUGAUGUUGUAUCAGUAUACAACAAGGUUACUGAUCUUAGGGAUAAAAAGCAGGCUGUUAAGAUCAGUAUUGAUAAAGUGCAGGCUUUCAGAGAGUACUACCCCUCGAGCAACGAUCCCAGUACUAUACUGGAGUGUGUAUGGGUGAAAGAUAAAUUUGUUUUGCAUGAAAAGACAAAAGCUAGCAGUCAGAAAACCCAAGAUGAGGAUCUGAAGUCAUGCACUCCAGAUUCAUCAAUCCAGUAUGAGACCCUUGGACUUGUUAGUGAAGAGAUGGAAAGCCUUGAUGGAGCAAACACCCCAGCCAAGCAACAACAUGAUGCUUCUCUGGCUGACCAACCAGAUAAACCCACCCAUUGCAGCGAUGCUGGAGAUUCUCACAGCGGGAGGCAACUACCAGAUGAUCAAAACACUCCGGGUUCUCUUCUUGGCAUGCCCGCUGCUUCGCCGACUCCAUGCAGAGAUGUCAAGCCUGAUACGAGGAAGAGAGUGGCAUUCAUCGCGGUGGGGAAAACAAAAGUCACCGUGACACCGCCUGAAACAUCAUCAUCCGUAGUUGCCAAGAAGCAAAGAGUGGACACGAUUCCACAGACCGCUGCAGAUCCUGCUUUGUAA